ensembl:lncRNA
CCCCAGGUGAGCACAGUCACCACCAGCUGCUGCCAGGCUCUAACAGAGAUUGGUGCCCAUGAGCAGCACCUGGGGAUGGGGCCAUCCUGGAGAUAAAUUAGCCUUCUUCUGCAGAUAGCAUGUAGCUAUGAGGUUUAGCUUUGUGUGGCUCCUCUUGAAGCCUCGUAUUUGUAGGGGGUAGUUAUUCCUUCUCUGGUCCCUGGCUGGGUUAUGUCCUUCUUGCUGAGCUGCUACCUGGAGGAUAGCAUCACACAGAGCAGUAAAUCACUGCACAGCCUCAAACUGUUUGUAUAAGUACUUAUCUUCUCUUUAGAAGAUAAUCGAAGACAAAUGUGUGUACAGGACGUAAGCUUAACAAAUGGGGCUGCCUCCUGAAAAUGUGAAUGCCCAUGAAAUAGAUACGGACGUGAGAGAAGCGCGGCUCCAUGCAGCAUCCCCGGUGCCUGCAGGGAGCAGAGACUCCAGGAAGGUCACUGAAACCGUGAAUUCAGCUACAAUCAACGUUUCUCCACCAUCGAUAUUCAUACAGGCCAGACAAAGCAUUUCAUUUUGUAGCUGCUCGUAAAUCAGGCAGAGAAGAAGAGGAAGAAAUGGAAGAGGGAAAGAGAAGGAUAUAAAAGAAGGGAUAGCUGGGGGAUGAGUGGAAGACGAGAGGAGGCUCUGCUCAUUCAGGCUCACAUCUGCUCCGUCUGAAGUGGAACCACCUGUUAGUUUAUUAAAUUGCAUAAUUAAUUUAUGUGGAGGGAAGGGGAGACUGCAGCUCAUCAGCGAUCUCCUGUUUCACCCCCAACCUGGAGCCCAGCACACCACGGGGCCCUUGUUCCUAUUGGAGCGUUCCCAGCACCUCCCUCAAGGCACUUGGUGCCCCAGGGUGUGCUGGUGGACGGUGCGCUCCCAGUGCUGAGCCCUGUCCUGGGGAGAGACCUCUGCCCCUAAAACAUCCCCAAAUGGUCCCCAAAAGGCUCCACGGUGAACAGCACCAUGAUGGUAGGGAUAAGGCUUCUCCAUUGCCUCUGGCAGCACCACCGUGGUGCUCACCCGUGUCCAAACACUUUGAGUUUUUCAUUACCAAAGACAAUAAACGCUCUAAAUAAUGUGUUUCAGAUGUCUAUUUCGGAAGGUGUCCUAGCAGCUCUACCCUGUGAGCCCCUAACAUAGGCCGGUCCACAGUGAUGCACGCCUUCCCGGCUCACACAGCCACGCUCCAAUUAUGUGAAAUGCUCUCCAGAUUUGGUUCCCAUUAUUGUCUUCCUUUGGCAUGACUGACUGGAGCACUCGAAUUGGAAAGGUCCCAGAAUCUUCAGCCUCCUAAAAUAUUUUCAAUAACGUUGAGAGCAAUUUUCCUCCGAGCGUGUAAGGAUUUCAGCGGAGGAGCCAACUUUCCCAGAGGAAUGAUCCAAUUACGGGGACUGGAUGCUCCUGUCAAUCUCUCCCUCAGGGACGUGGAAAAUCAAAAUUAUGAUUUAUUUUUUUAAUGUGACAGUGAGCGUAAAGGCAGGAAUCUAAACCAUACCGUUAUCUCCCCAGGCACUCCCGCUCCUCUGGCUGAUACUGUUAGCUAAAAAUACCGACUCAUUUCAGGCAGAACCUCCUUAAAUUCUGCCCUAAUGACAGCACCGGCAGGGCCCAGCCUUCGGUACGGUGCUGAAUUAUGACUGUUUAAUGGUGACCUUUGCAUGUAAAAAUUGAGUCGGAACGACUUCUGCUUGCGCUAAUGCAAUGAGAGAAAUGUGGUUCCGAGAGAGGGGUUUGCAGUCAAUGACAAAGGAAGGGAAAGGAAGCAGCAGUCCCCCAAAAACCAAAAAUAGCUUCCUGGGGUCAGAGCAGAGGA